GUCUGCUUGGAGAUAUAAGAAGUCUAACCUGCUCUCUGAAUUUUUUAAGGGCCGCGGUAAUUUGACUGUGCAAAGGUAGCAUAAUAGUUAGUUUUUUAAUUGAAAUCUUGUAUGAAUGGUUGGACAAAAGAAUUACUGUCUCUAUAAUUUUUAUUGAAUUUAACUUUUAAGUGAAAAGGCUUAAAUUAUUUAAAAAGACGAUAAGACCCUAUAAAGCUUUAUAAGUGAAUUUUAUUUUAUUAAAUUAGUAAUAAAAAUUUAAUGAUUUUUAUUAUUUUGUUGGGGAGACAAUAUUAUAAUUUUAAGUAACUGAGGAAGAUUAAUACAAAUAUAAGUGUAUAAAAAUAUAAAGAUCCUGGUUAAAGAUUAAAAAAUUAAGUUACUUUAGGGAUAACAGCGUUAUUUUUCUUAAGAGUUCAUAUCGAAAGAAAAGAUUGCGACCUCGAUGUUGAAUUAAAAUUUCUAAAUAAUUGCAGAAGUUAUUAUAGAAGGUCUGUUCGACCUUUAAAAUUUUACAUGAUUUGAGUUCAGACCGGCGUAAGCCAGGUCGGUUUCUAUCUUUUAAAAAAAAAUUAACUAUUUUAGUACGAAAGGAUUAAGUAGUUAAAAUAAUUUUUAUAGUGGUUAUUUUGGCAGAAAAUAUGCGUAGGA
rnacentral:rRNA from 1 species